rnacentral:rRNA from 1 species
UACGGGGGGGGGCAAGCGUUGUUCGGAAUUACUGGGCGUAAAGGGCUCGUAGGCGGCCAACUAAGUCGGAUGUGAAAUCCCCAAGCUUAACUUGGGAACUGCAUCCGAUACUGGAUGGCUUGAAUCCGGGAGAGGGAUGCAGAAUUCCAGGUGUGAGCGGUGAAAUGCGUAGAUAUCUGGAGGAAUACCGGUGGCGAAGGCGGCAUCCUGGACCGGCAUUGACGCUGAGGAGCGAAAGCUAGGGGAGCAAACGGG